rnacentral:rRNA from 1 species
AGAGUUUGAUCCUGGCUCAGGAUGAACGCUAGCGACAGGCUUAACACAUGCAAGUCGAGGGGCAGCACGGUGUAGCAAUACACUGGUGGCGACCGGCGCACGGGUGAGUAACACGUGUGCAACCAACCCCGUACCGGGAGAUAACCCGCGGAAACGUGGACUAACAUCCCAUGAUACUCGAGAGCCGCAUGGCUCUAGAUUUAAAAUUCCGGUGGUACGGGACGGGCACGCGCGACAUUAGGUAGUUGGCGGGGUAAGGGCCCACCAAGCCGACGAUGUCUAGGGGUUCUGAGAGGAAGGUCCCCCACACUGGAACUGAGACACGGUCCAGACUCCUACGGGAGGCAGCAGUGAGGAAUAUUGGUCAAUGGGCGAGAGCCUGAACCAGCCAAGUCGCGUGAGGGACGAAUGGUCUAUGGCCUGUAAACCUCUUUUGUCAAGGAAGAAUAAAUCGCACGGGUGCGAUCUUGCCAGUACUUGACGAAUAAGCAUCGGCUAACUCCGUGCCAGCAGCCGCGGUAAUACGGGGGAUGCGAGCGUUAUCCGGAUUUAUUGGGUUUAAAGGGCGCGUAGGCGGGACGUCAAGUCAGCGGUAAAAGACUGCAGCUAAACUGUAGCACGCCGUUGAAACUGGCGCCCUCGAGACGAGACGAGGGAGGCGGAACAAGUGAAGUAGCGGUGAAAUGCAUAGAUAUCACUUGGAACCCCGAUAGCGAAGGCAGCUUCCCAGGCUCGUUCUGACGCUGAUGCGCGAGAGCGUGGGUAGCGAACAGGAUUAGAUACCCUGGUAGUCCACGCCGUAAACGAUGCUCACUGGAUCUUGGCGAUACACAGCCAGGGUUCAAGCGAAAGUAUUAAGUGAGCCACCUGGGGAGUACGUCGGCAACGAUGAAACUCAAAGGAAUUGACGGGGGCCCGCACAAGCGGAGGAACAUGUG